rnacentral:lncRNA from 1 species
AUCAUGACUGGAAAGCAGGAUCCCUCAGUGACUGCCGAAUCUUCCCAGCACAAGAUAGAGAGGCAGUUCAGCACAAGCCUACAUUGGUUCUAGGCAGAACGAUGAUCCUACCGAACAGAUCUCAAAUAAAAUUAAAUUGAGAAAGCAGAUCUUUCAAGGGAAUGAGGCGGAGGCUCGCUUUUAUGUUAAAAGCCACCAGCAUCCUCCUUGCUAGACAUGGACAUGACAUUUUUAAAGGAAUUAUCUGGUUACAGCGUUUUAAGCAAACUGUUCUAAGGAGAUCAUGUAUUCAUAAGGGAUGAGGCGGGCCACGGCGAUCCCAGGCCUGAGCCGCGGCCUACCCAGUCAGUUCAGAGCCAGGCCCUCCACUACCGGAACAGAGAGCGCUUUGCCACGAUCAAAUCAGCAUCUUUGGUUACACGACAGAUCCAUGAGCAUGAGCAGGAGAACGAGUUGCGGGAACAGAUGUCAGGUUAUAAGCGGAUGCGGCGCCAGCACCAGAAGCAGCUGAUCGCCCUGGAGAACAAGCUGAAGGCUGAGAUGGACGAGCACCGCCUCAAGCUACAGAAGGAGGUGGAGA